GGGUCCGAGGUGCGAUGAUUGGGGCCUUAUGGCCCGAUAUCCGGUGAUCCCGGCUGCCGAGGAAAGCUUCGGCGUCAGGCUCAAAGCCGCCCGUACCCCAAACCGACACUGGUGGUCAGGUAGAGAAUACCAAAGCGAUCGAGCGAAUCCUGGUCAAGGAACUCGGCAAAUCACUCCCGUUCCUUCGGUUUAAGGGAGACCCCCGAUGGUGAACACACUUGCUGUGGGAGCUUUUUGGGGGUGGCACAGACCAGGGGGUAGCGACUGUUUACCAAAAACACAGGUGCAUGCGAAGGCGCAAGCCGCUGUAUAUGCACUGACGCCUGCCCGGUGCCGGAAGGUUAAGAGGAUCCGUCAGCCUUCGGGUGAAGCGGUGAAUUCAAGCCCCGGUAAACGGCGGUGGUAACAAUAACCAUCCUAAGGUAGCGAAAUUCCUUGUCGGGUAAGUUCCGACCUGCACGAAUGGCGUAACGACUUCCCCACUGUCUCGACCAGGAGCUCGGCGAAAUUGCAGUACGAGUAAAGAUGCUCGUUAAGCGCAGAAGGACGAAAAGACCCCGGGACCUUUACUAUACCUUGGUAUUGGCAUUCGGUGUGGAUUGUGUAGCAUAGGCGGGAGGCCGAGAGGCGCGGUCGCCAGAUCGCGCGGAGCCGUAAGGUGAAAUACCGCUCUGUUCGCAUUGGAUGUCUAACCUCGAACAGUCAUCCUGUUCAGGGACAGUGCCUGGCGGGUAGUUUAACUGGGGCGGUUGCCUCCCAAAGAGUAACGGAGGCGCCCAAAGGUCCGCUCAGCCCGGUUGGCAAUCGGGUGGCGAGUGCAAGUGCACAAGCGGGCUUGACUGCGAGGACGACGGUCCGAGCAGGGACGAAAGUCGGGACUAGUGAUCCGGUGCCGGUGUACGGACGCGGCAUCGCUCAACGGAUAAAAGGUACCCCGGGGAUAACAGGCUGAUCAUUCCCAAGAGUCCAUAUCGACGGGAUGGUUUGGCACCUCGAUGUCGGCUCGUCGCAUCCUGGGGCUGGAGCAGGUCCCAAGGGUUCGGCUGUUCGCCGAUUAAAGCGGCACGCGAGCUGGGUUCAGAACGUCGUGAGACAGUUUGGUCUCUAUCCUCUGCGCUCGUUGGAAUGCUGAGGAGGCCUGCCCAUAGUACGAGAGGACCUGGGUGGACGAACCUCUGGUAUGCCGGUUGUCACGCCAGUGGCACGGCCGGUUGGCUACGUUCGGAAGGGAUAACCGCUGAAAGCAUCUAAGCGGGAAGCCUGCUCCAAGAUAAGCAUUCCGUGGAACCUUCGAGUUCCUGUAGUCCCCAUGCAGAACACGUGGUCGAUAGGCCGGACGUGGAAGCCCCGCGAGGGGUGGAGCCGACCGGUACUAACGGACGAAAGGC
rnacentral:rRNA from 1 species